AUGAUUGAUGCCGAUCUAAUCAAUCUGAGAUAUUGGGAGGCAGCUGAAGAAUAUUUUGGUUUUAUACUACCCAAACUACACCCUGUAACUUGGGCGAGGGACCUCCUGGAUAUGCAGUUCAUGAGUAAAGAGAGAAGUGCUAUAGCUAUCUCUGUUAUGUGGGCUAUUUGGAUGAGUAGAAGCAAGUAUGCACACGAGGAGAUCAAGUACCAACCAAUCCGCUCAAUGGAGAUUAUCGAUGAGUUCAUCAAGUCUCUGGACAUACCACUACCUGCUCCCCUGACGAAAACUUUCAUUGUGGAGAGGUGGCUGCCACCGGAAGAAGGGUGGGCAAAGAUAAAUACGGACGCGGCUGUUUGCAAGAAAGAAAGAAUUGGAGGAGUGUGGCAGCAGUGGCACGGGACCAGUCUGGGGCUUUCAUCUGGGCAAGACAAGCAAAGUACGAGGAAGUGA
rnacentral:rRNA from 1 species